GACGGAGGGUGCAAGCGUUGUUCGGAAUUACUGGGCGUAAAGCGCACGUAGGCGGCUUUUUAAGUCAGAGGUGAAAGCCCGGGGCUCAACUCCGGAAUUGCCUUUGAGACUGGGAGGCUUGAUCGUCGGAGAGGUGAGUGGAAUUCCGAGUGUAGAGGUGAAAUUCGUAGAUAUUCGGAAGAACACCAGUGGCGAAGGCGGCUCACUGGACGACUGAUGACGCUGAGGUGCGAAAGCGUGGGGGAGCAAACAGG
rnacentral:rRNA from 1 species